GUCAUUAUAUCAGUUUAUUGCUAAAUAAUUCGAUUAUAAAAUAUAGAACAGGCUUUAUCCACGACCAGUCCACGUCUAAUUCUACACAGUAUAAAUGUUUUACAAUUACUUUAGUUAUAUAUAUAUACGCGGUGUUUCCACAAACAAAAAGUCUUGUGUGUUUUAUCGCAAUGCAUGCCAACCUACAAAGAACUUUAUAGUACAUACUCUUCACUCUGCAAACGUCACACUUAUACAACUUACAGUAUUUUAUGAAGAGGGUGGUUAUACGUUAUCAUAAUCAUUAUCAAUAAAAAAUAUCAGUGUUUUAAUAAUACACAAUUUGUACUAACAUUAUUCGCAUUAUUCAUUAAUUUAGCCUAUCUUCAAACGUCGCGCUUAUCGUGUUCGAACCUGUAAUAUUGUAAUGCGGGUGACUGUAUUUUUUCGUGAUAGUCAGUGAUAAUCAGUGAUUACUCCAUUAGACAUUACCGCGGUGACAACACUCAGCAUUACUGUCAUUACUCAUUACUACAUUAGGUUGGCACACGUAAAAAUUGACGUUUAAACUAGGCAUAACAAUAAAUAUUAUAAUAAUUAUGGCGCUGUUAUACUAGAAUGAGGUAUAAAUGUUGCGUGUUCGCAUAAAUUUGGAUUGACCUAAAACAGUUUAUAUGUCAUUUUCGUUUUCCAAAAACUCUUUGUCCUUUGACUUUGGCACUUGCUUCUUCUUCUUUGUUUUGCCUUUAGACACCCAAUAUCAAGACUGAGCUUAGAUGUUUUGUACAGACAUCAUUUCAACACAUACUUCAUUUCUAUAGCAACUUUCCUAC